rnacentral:lncRNA from 1 species
AUGUGUGUGUGUGUGUGUGUGGUGCCGCCCUCUGCUGGUGGACAGGUUUACUGCAGUGUGUGUGUGUGGUGGCGCCCUCUGCUGGUGGACGGGUUUACUGCAGUGUGUGUGUGUGUUGCCGCCCCCUGCUGGUGGACGGGUUUACUGCAGUGUGUGUGUGCGUGUGUGUGGUGCCGCCCCCUGCUGGUGGACGGGUUUACUGCAGUGUCUGUGUGUGGUGCCGCCCUCUGCUGGUGGACGGGUUUACUGCAGUGUGUGUGUGGUGCCACCCUCUGCUGGUGGACGGGUUUACUGCAGUGUGUGUGUGUGUGGUGCCGCCCCCUGCUGGUGGACGGGUUUACUGCAGUGUGUGUGUGUGUGGUGCCGCCCUCUGCUGGUGGACGGGUUUACUGCAGUGUGUGUGUGUGUGUGGUGCCGCCCCCUGCUGGUGGACGGGUUUACUGCAGUGUGAGUGUGGUACCGUCCUCUGCUGGUGGACGGGUUUACUGCAGUGUGUGUGUGUGUGUGUGGUGCCGCCCCCUGCUGGUGGACGGGUUUACUGCAGUGUCUGUGUGUGGUGCCGCCCUCUGCUGGUGGACGGGUUUACUGCAGUUUGUGUGUGGUGCCACCCUCUGCUGGUGGACGGGUUUACUGCAGUGUGUGUGUGUGUGGUGCCGCCCCCUGCUGGUGGACGGGUUUACUGCAGUGUGUGUGUGUGUGGUGCCGCCCUCUGCUGGUGGACGGGUUUACUGCAGUGUGUGUGUGUGUGGUGCCGCCCCCUGCUGGUGGACGGGUUUACUGCAGUGUGAGUGUGGUACCGUCCUCUGCUGGUGGACGGGUUUACUGCAGUGUGUGUGUGUGUGUGUGGUGCCGCCCCCUGCUGGUGGACGGAUUUACUGCAGUGUGUGUGUGUGUGUGUGUGUGUGGUGCCGCCCUCUGCUGGUGAACGGGUUUACUGCAGUGUGUGUGUGUGUGGUGCCGCCCCCUGCUGGUGGACGGGUUUACUGCAGUGUGAGUGUGGUACCGUCCUCUGCUGGUGGACGGGUUUACUGCAGUGUGUGUGUGGUGCUGCCCUCUGCUGGUGGACGGGUUAACUGCAGUGUGUGUGUGUGGUGCCGCCCCCUGCUGGUGGACGGAUUUACUGCAGUGUGUUUGUGGUGCCGCCCCCUGCUGGUGGACGGGUUUACUGCAGUGUGUGUGUGUGUGUGGAGCCGCCCCCUGCUGGUGGACGGGUUUACUGCAGUCUGUGUGUGUGUGUGUGUGUGUGUGGUGCCGCCCCCUGCUGGUGGACGGGUUUACUGCAGUGUGUGUGUGUGUGUGUGGUGCCGCCCUCUGCCGGUGGACGGGUUUACUGCAGUGUGUGUGUGGUGCUGCCCUCUGCUGGUGGUCGGGUUAACUGCAGUGUGUGUGUGGUGCCGCCCCCUGCUGGUGGACGGGUUUACUGCAGUGUGUUUGAGGUGCCGCCCCCUGCUGGUGGACGGGUUUACUGCAGUGUGUGUGUGUGUGUGUGGAGCCGCCCCCAGCUGGUGGACGGGUUUACUGCAGUCUGUGUGUGUGUGUGUGUGUGGUGCCGCCCCCUGCUGGUGGACGGGUUUACUGCAGUGUGUGUGUGUGUGUGUGGUGCCGCCCUCUGCUGGUGGACGGGUUUACUGCAGUGUGUUUGUGGUGCCGCCCCCUGCUGGUGGACGGGUUUACUGCAGUGUGUGUGUGGUGCCGCCCUCUGCUGGUGGACGGGUUUACUGCAGUGUGUGUGUGUGGUGCCGCCCUCUGCUGGUGAACGGGUUUACUGCAGUGUGUGUGUGUGUGUGUGGAGCCGCCCCCUGCUGGUGGACGGGUUUACUGCAGUCUGUGUGUGUGUGUGUGUGUGUGGUGCCGCCCCCUGCUGGUGGACGGGUUUACUGCAGUGUGUGUGUGUGUGUGGUGCCGCCCUCUGCUGGUGGACGGGUUUACUGCAGUGUGUUUGUGGUGCCGCCCCCUGCUGGUGGACGGGUUUACUGCAGUGUGUGUGUGGUGCCGCCCUCUGCUGGUGGACGGGUUUACUGCAGUGUGUGUGUGUGGUGCCGCCCUCUGCUGGUGGACGGGUUUACUGCAGUGUGUGUGUGUAUGUGUGUGUGUGUGUGUGUGUGUGUGUGA